rnacentral:rRNA from 1 species
CUACGGGUUGCAGCAGUCGAGAAUCUUCCACAAUGGGCGAAAGCCUGAUGGAGCGACGCCGCGUGCAGGAUGACAGCCUUCGGGUUGUAAACUGCUUUUCUAUGGGAACAAUUUCGUGAGCUUACCAUAGGAAUAAGGGGUUGCUAACUCUGUGCCAGCAGCAGCGGUAAUACAGAGACCUCAAGCGUUAUCCGGAUUUAUUGGGCGUAAAGGGUGGGUAGGUGGAUAUGGUAGUCAGGUGUUAAAUCAUCGAGCUUAACUCGAUGGCUGCACUUGAAACGCCAUCUCUAGAGAUAGGUAGAGGCUAACGGAACUCAUGGUGUAGUAGUGAAAUGCGUUGAUAUCAUGGGGAACACCAAAGGCGAAGGCAGUUAGCUGGACCUUAUCUGACACUGAGCCACGAAAGCGUGGGUAGCGAAGGGGAUUAGAUACCCCGGUAGUC